rnacentral:lncRNA from 1 species
GCAAGAUCAAGGGAGAAAGCGAGCCGGCGACCGGCUCCGGACUCUGAGCGGUGCGCAGCUCGCUCCCGGGCCAGCCGGCCCCGAACCUGCUAAGGGCUGCCCGCUCCUGCCAGCCUUCACCGAGGAGAUCGCAGCCCCGGGAGGCAGCUGGAGCUCCACCCGCGGCAGUCUGGAUGGACACAAGCCAUCAUAGCCCCAUGAGCCUUCUGGGACAUCCUUGGUCCGGCCAGAACUGCUUUGGAGGUAUAACGAUGUGGCACAAGCCAGCUACAGAAAUACGGUAAGGUGUUAGGAGGGUGUGUUGGUCACGAGAUCAGAGUGUUCUAUUUUGGGAGACCCACGGA